rnacentral:rRNA from 1 species
CCUAGGCGACGAUACAUAGCCGACCUGAGAGGGUGAUCGGCCACACUGGGACUGAGACACGGCCCAGACUCCUACGGGAGGCAGCAGUAGGGAAUCUUCGGCAAUGGGGGCAACCCUGACCGAGCAACGCCGCGUGAGUGAAGAAGGUUUUCGGAUCGUAAAGCUCUGUUGUAAGUCAAGAACGGGUGUGAGAGUGGAAAGUUCACACUGUGACGGUAGCUUACCAGAAAGGGACGGCUAACUACGUGCCAGCAGCCGCCGUCGACGGAGGAUGCAAGCGUUAUCCGGAAUGAUUGGGCGUAAAGCGUCCGCAGGUGGCAGUUCAAG